AUAUUAUAUUUAUUAAAAAUUAUUCGUUAAAUGAUUUAUUAUUAUAGUUAUAAAGUUAAAUUUUAUGUUGUAAGUAUAUUAUAUUAUCUGUUUCUGGAAUAAAAAAUUGUUGUCUUAAAAAUUAGCAGAUUCGUUAUUCAUAAUAUAGUGAGAAUGAUAGUAUUAUUGUUACGAAUAAUAAUAACAAAACACAGUUUUUAAAUAAAUAUAUAUGUAUGUACAUAUAUAUAUAUAUAUAUAUAUAUAUAUACAUAUAUAUAUGUACAAUAUAAUAAUAGUUAUUUUAUUUGUAAAACUAUAUAUGUACUUUAUGUAUUGUAAAUGUUAAAUUAUAUAUUAUAUAUUUAUUUAUAUAUAAUAUACAACCAUAUUAUAUAUUCUAUUGUACGGAUAUAUCCAUAUUAUAUAUUUAUAUUUAGAUAAAUUUGAUCACUUUUUUUUUUCAAAAUUGUAGUUGAGCCAAUUAAUUCCAGUAAAAAAAAAAAAAAAAAAAAAAAAAAAAGAAAAAAAAAACGGACCCGUCAAACAGAAUCCAUGUAUGUUCCUAAAUUGUUUAUCAUAGCACAGUAACCAUAAAAAUAUUAACGGGACGUGAUUUUCAAUGGUUGCACUGCCACUUGAUGUCAACAUAUAAAAUAAUAUUAUUAAUGUUAUCAGCAUUCACAAUAAAGAUAUGGUUAGACCGUUAGUUAUUAUCGGCAUUCUCGGACAAUAAGGAUUUGAGGCUGCAUAUUUUUUUCUUUCGUGACAUUAGUAAUGUUAAUGUAAAAAAAAAAAAAAAAAACAUAUCACGUUUUUUUCUCAUAUUGAUUUUAAUUCCUACCCCAUUACACCCCGCUGCAUUCAUAAAUUCCGUUAUUAUUUACGAUUCAAUUUCAGGUACUUAUUUUUGAUAUUCUAUUAUUUUGUAUCAUAUAAAUUGGCAAAAAUGUAAUGAAGCCUCAAUUAACUACCCUUAACCGCUCCAUUUUAGAAAGCAGCCUCAAAUGUAAAAAUCUCGGAGUGAUCUGUCCAUAUCUUUAACAUCUAUGGGCUUAAGGCGUACAAAAAAAAAAUGAUAACGAAUUAAUUACACCGGCUCGACCGUCAAUAGUUACAUGGACAUCGGAGAUUUUCGAUUUAGAAAUACUAACAUCAUCCAGUGUAAUAAGUUUGAGGAUAAAUUUAAGAACAUAUAUGGGUAAUAGGUACCUGCUCGUGUAUUGUUAACACCAUAAUAUUAUAAUAAGGGAUAUAAUAAUGUUGUUAGGCGUCUUCAAAAUCUAAUUUUUCGAAAAGAAAGUAAUAUCUUAAUGUUUAUGUUCAAAUACGGCUCAUUAUUUAGGUGAUAGUUAUAUUAUUAUUAUUAUUAUUAUUAUCUUAAUGUCGUGUUAUUUGAUUUACCUUAUCCUUAUAUUUAACAGGGUAAUAGUAUUAUUUAAAUCUAGGCCUAAUAAUAUUACUUACUUAUAUAGUACCUAACUUAAGUUCGUUUGACCAUUUGUCUCAUGAUUAUAAUAUUGUAAUUAUUAUUAUUAUGUAGUAUAUUUAUUUAUUUAUUAUUAUCAUUUGUAUUUAUUUAAUUUUUAACUUUUUUUUUUUUUUUCUACCUUUACUUUUAUCUUUUUUUCGCACGUUACUUAUGCACAGUUAAUUUCUCUCACUGUCUUUGAAAAUUGAACCUAAAUAAUAUUACUAUAGUGAUUUCGUGAUUGUUUUUUUAACCCUUGUAUUGCCUACGUGUACGUGUACGACAAGGACGACGACCGAAAAUAUUAUGUUUGUCAUUCUAGCCGAUUUUAAAUCGAUGUACACAUACAUUUUAAUAUUAUCGUCCUUAUGAUAUUAUAGUAUUGUAUUAAGGCACAUGUACCCAGAGUAUACACAACUUCAAAAUAAUAUAAUCGUCGAACUCGAUUCGGGCGGAGUCCACAAUAUUAAAAAUCAUCAUAAUAAUAUUGCAUUGUCGAAUGAAAACCUCAAUAAUUUUUAAUUGCACUUAAACUAAAAACAAUAAUACAAAUUAAAAGAAAUAAGUAUUAAUGAAAUACAAGGGUUAAAGGAGUACACAUACCUUAUUUAUUAUUCGAUUAAUGUAUUUUGAGGUAACGCGGUGACCUAAUUUCAAAAAUUAAAUAAUAUUAUUAAUCGGAGACCACGUGGUGCUACCACGUGUCUCGUACUUAAAUUUUACUGUAUUAUCGAUUAUUAUUAUUAAAAUAUAUUAUAAAGAAAACAAAAAUUGAAUGACUGUUCAUUAGUUUAAAUAAUGUGUUUAUUAUUGUUUAGGUUGUCAAUUAUUAUUCUAGAAAUAAAUACAUGAGUUGUCAAUAAUUGUGUUUUUUUUUUUUUUUUUUUUUACGUUUAUUAUUCCCGAAUAAAUCUCCUAUUUGAAAGAUGAGUUUUCUCAAAAAUUUAAUUUUUGCUAUUUUUAGAUAGGUAAUACUAUAACACGUGGUCCGGUAUUUUUCUGAGCGCUGCACAGAAUCCAAUACCCGCAAUUCAUAAACUAUAAUGUAAGGGUACCUAUUGAUAUGAUAAUAACGUGUUUAUAUAGAUAGAUUUCACUGUGAAGAUACGUGCGAGGG